rnacentral:miRNA from 1 species
GAGCCGAGGUUCAUUUAAGCUGGAGCGCGAGCGCCGCGUGCCGGCCGCGCCGCCAGUGCGCAUGUGCCCGCCCCUCCCCGCCUCCGCUCGCGUGCCCCUCGCAUC